AUAGUUUCUUCUUCUAGAGAGAGAAUCGCUCUCUCUUUACCUCCUUCGUAUCCAUCUCUGUAUCUUUAAGAAGGACGAAGAAGAGAGCAUUUCUUGUUUUUUUUUUCGAUCAGACAAUCCUUUUGUUCGCUAAGGCGAUUUUUGUUUGUUUGCAGGUGGAGAAAAGGUCAUAAAAGGUCUCAGUAAGGGUGUUGAAGGGAUGCGAGCUGGUGAUAAGAGAAGACUCAUAAUUUCACCAUCUCUUGGAUACUCAGGGGAAGGACUAAAGAAGGAAGAUGUGCCUAGAAUUCGUGGCUUGUCUAUGAAGUAGAGGCAGUAAAAGUGAGAGAUGCCACUGGCUCUUUUGAAACAAGUUUAUGCUUUUUUUUGUUUUUUUUCUUCUCGGGUCAUCUAUUUGUCUCAUAUUGCCUCCAAUUUUCGUUUGUUUUGGGGAGGGGAUUCGCUAGCUGUUCGCUUAACUCAGCCACAUGGUUAUAUAAUUUCUUCGGUCAACAAGAUGCAAAGUUGUUUAAAGUUGGAACUUUUUUCGUCGAAGUGUAAUUUCCUCAGAAAUGAUUCCGUUUAUAGUAGUCACCUCUCUGUUUCACUGUUUACUGCCUUGGAAACAACCCGGUUUCUUAUCUUCACCUUGGAAACAGCGAUUUUUUAUUGAGAGGAAUUCACCUAUCUACACCGCCGUUUUCUGAGAGCGCUUGUCUUGAGAAACCCACCCGGAAAUAAAGUCUCAAGGAUCAAACGUGUGUAU